UUGAAAGGGAAACGAUUGAAGUCAGUCAUACCAACGGGAAAUCAACCUUUUGAGCUUGGUCUCGUGGGUUUUGAAGAGUUUCAAAGCCUUCAGAUUCGCGGGAUUGGGAUCUCUUGGUGUACUUUUUCGUACGGUUAGUCAACAUCGGUUUUGAAUGUCAUAAAAUGACUGGAGGAAUGUAGCUUCGAUCUCGUAUUGAAGUGUUAUAGCCUUUGGUAGAUGUGAUGUUUGAGACCGAGGAUUGCAACGGAUACCCUUCAGGGCUAUUCGUCUGAUCUCUGAUACGUUGCCUUGAUGUUGAAAGCUUGCUUAUGAUGUUAGGGUAUUACGGUCAAAAGGUUAGAACGAAUUACAUUCGUUAAGGAUGUUGACGUA
rnacentral:rRNA from 1 species